AUACAAUCCAAUAAUAGAUCCUUACUCUUAAAUAAACCUAAACCAACAAGAAAGGUGAUGGCAUAUUUCAUUAAUUUGUUUAUUCUUUUUUAUAAAAUUCCUCUUAUUACAACAACUCUCGUGUAAUUUUAAUUAUACUUUGUCAUACUAGUCAGUAACUGCACUGCUUGAUUUAAGUCUCACAGCUGAUCAUAAAAUAAACAGUAACCGUUCCAGAGACAGUUUAGACAGUGUUUUGAAGCCUAAUGUUGUACUUCAGGCUUGUGAGACUUCAACGGUUCUUAUUUAAUUUCGAGUUGGACAGUCAUAACUUGCGCAUCAGUAUAAAGAUUAUUACUUUUAUACUGGACUAUAAAUGGAAGCGCUGUAUGUUUUGGGCUGUAGAUUCAAAAGAGCCGGCUCGAGUUAAGGAAUUAAAUACACUGGUAGAACUGUGUGAUUUUACGCUGUAGAGUCAGUAGAGGGCAGCGCUGCUGCAGAGAUGCGCUGCUGGAAACACUAGCUGUGUCUCGUUUCGAAGGUAUGGAAAGCCAAAAGGGUCAUAAUUCACGUGCUUUGAAACGCCGUUUUCUAAAAGCCGUAAGGCGUUAAGUAAACGGCGUUUGGCGUUACAUAAACGCCGUACGCCGUCACAGGUUAAGUUAACGCGUGUUAUUUUAGCGCCUCACGUAACUUAAUUAGCGCAUUCAUUUGCUCAUGUACAUAACUCCUCCUCUAUCGCGUUUGAGGUAUCUACGGCAAGUCGGAGGAUUCAAAUCGUUAACGGCAACGAUGGCAACGAGGGAAACGAGGAGCUUUGUCUCGCAGUGCAAACGCACAUUAAAUGACUGCAGCCGACUUUUGUUGUCGGAUAAUCCAGGACCUGAUGUCUUUCAGUCAUCAUUAAAUAGGUAAGGAUUUUGUCUCUACUGUCCAAAACAAUUUAUUCAACUACUCGCACAGAAUUUGACUCGGGGUUUGAGUUCAGGUUUAAGGUUUAAGUUCAGUGGAGGGGGUAGUAUUGGAAAAUCAAUGAUGUACUCAUUCUCAUAACUAUUUUUACAUUAUAUUUACAUUUUCAGAAUUGAAACCAUGCAGAGGAGUCUGGAUUGGGAAGGGGGGAGGCUUAUAAAUGCCCAGGCUGCAGAUGAAAUUAUCCAUGGGAUAACAGAGUUUAUUCAGAUGGUUCAGAAUUUAGACAGGACAACACAUGAAGAUGGAUCUGGGUAUCGACCACCAUUAAUUAGUAGUGGAUCAGAAGGUGCACCAUCUUAUGCCAUUACUCGGAGUCAGCUGUCAUUUCUGAGGACUUGCGGUUUUACAGUACCGCAGGUGUUCUCCACACAUCUUUAUCCACAAUCAAAAGACGAUUAAGGCGCUUCAGUAUGUUGCAGUAUGCUUCCUAUUCAGACAUGACUGAUUCAGCCUUGGAUGAAAAUAUUCGGGACCUGGUGGCUGGAAAUGAUCAGCUUGGCCCAGAGACUGUCCGGGCGCAACUGAGAGCAGAGGGAAUCCGGGUGCAAAGAUGGAGAGUGAGGAUCAGUUUGCAGCGUGUCAACCCAAGGGCUGCAGCCCUCAGAGCAGUGUCUCAGAGACUCCGUAGAAGGUCUUGCAUUAUGGCAUCUGGAUGGAAACCACAAACUAAUAAGAUGGAGGAUCGUCAUUCAUGGUGCCAUUGAUGGCUACAGUCGGCUCAUCACUUUUCUCCGUGCUGCUAACAACAAUCGCAGCAACACUGUGAUGGAUUCUUUUUUGGAUGCAGUCUCCAAAUAUGGAGUCCCUUCCAGAGUGAGGACCGACUAUGGUGGAGAAAAUAAUGCAGUUUGCUUGUUCAUGAACUUGUUUAGAGGCACUGGCCGAGGUAGUGCUCUUAGAGGAAGAGGCACACACAAUUAGAGGAUCGAGAGACUCUGGUUGGAUCUCUGGCACGGCAUGACAAAUGUCUACUAUGACCUGUUCCAUUUUCUUGAGACUUGGGGCAUUGUGGAUGUAGACAAUGAAAUGCACAUGUGGGCUCUGCAUUAUGUCUACAUACCAAGAAUUAAUAAAGACUUGAAAAAUUACUCAAGGCAGUGGAACAACCAUGGAGGCACCCGACCCCUAUGCAGAUUUUCAUCCGAGGUUGCCUGGCACAGCAGAGACGAUCAACAACUGCAAUGCAGGACAUAUUUGGACCAAGACCCUCAGACUCUGCUGGAGGAAUGACUGCUCCAGCACAAGAUACCAGCGAGAGCCAUUCUGCAACAGAUGCACUUGAUGUCCAUUGGCCUGAAAGGUUAACUCUACCUCCAAACCUGUUCACUCUGAGUGAUGAGAUGCAACAACUUGUGGGGCAAAUUGAUCCACUUGGAGGCUCCCGAGAGAGUCUUGGAAUGGAUGUCUUACAGAAUGUUCUUUCUUUUCUGGGAAAUCAGGUGACUUAAAGUACAUUUAAAGCAAUAAUUCACCACUGGAGUCAUACAGAUUACCUUAAAGUCAGCAUGAAAUCAAAAUCGACCCCAUCUAUUUUCUUAAUGCAUGUUACUGGUCUUGUUGUGAAUGAUUCAUGCUGUUUUGUUUAUUUUUGUCCUUUAAUCUUUUAUCAAAAUAUAACUCGCUCUUCCGGUGAUGCAACAGACUCAUCUCUGUAUGCAGGAUUUCACCAAUCAUUCGGUCUGCUUUAAUGCUGGCCCUUCAGCCUGUCAUGUACACAAACCUGGCUGGCAUCAAAGCAGCUAAUAUGUAGAGAUGAAGAGGUGUCAUAACUUCUGCUACUUUUCUUUUAAUUUCAAAGUUGUGACUUUAAAGCUGCCUUUGUGCUUUUAAGAGCUUCAGAGUUUGAUCUCCAUUUACUUGUACUUUAUGGAGAAACGGACACAUCUGUUGCGGUGUGAAUAAACAACUGUUUUUUUAUGAUGAAAUAACUAAACAACUUAAGUAUUAAUUGUGUAAAAAUAAAGCAUUCCACUGUUUUCA